rnacentral:rRNA from 1 species
AGUGAACGCUGGCGGUAGGCCUAACACAUGCAAGUCGAACGGCAGCACAGUAAGAGCUUGCUCUUACGGGUGGCGAGUGGCGGACGGGUGAGGAAUACAUCGGAAUCUACUUUUUCGUGGGGGAUAACGUAGGGAAACUUACGCUAAUACCGCAUACGACCUACGGGUGAAAGCAGGGGAUCUUCGGACCUUGCGCGAUUGAAUGAGCCGAUGUCGGAUUAGCUAGUUGGCGGGGUAAAGGACCACCAAGGGGACGAUCCGUAGCUGGUCCGAGAGGAUGGUCAGCCACAUGGGAAGUGAGACUCGGCCCAGACUCCUGCGGGAGGCAGCAGUGGGGAAUAUUGCACGAUGGGCGCAAGCCUGAUCCAGCCAUACCGCGUGGGUGAAGAAGGCCUUCUGGUUGUAAAGCCCUUUUGUUGGGAAAGAAAAGCAGCAGGUUAAUCCCCCGCUGUUCUGACGGUACCCAAAGAAUAAGCACCGGCUAACUUCGUG